AUUGAACGCUGGCGGCAGGCUUAACACAUGCAAGUCGAGCGGAGAUGAGGUGCUUGCACCUUAUCUUAGCGGCGGACGGGUGAGUAAUGCUUAGGAAUCUGCCAUUUAGUGGGGGACAACAUUCCGAAAGGAAUGCUAAUACCGCAUACGUCCUACGGGAGAAAGCAGGGGAUCUUCGGACCUUGCGCUAAAUGAUGAGCCUAAGUCGGAUUAGCUAGUUGGUGGGGUAAAGGCCUACCAAGGCGACGAUCUGUAGCGGGUCUGAGAGGAUGAUCCGCCAGACUGGGAAUGGGAAACGGCCCAGACUCCUACGGGAGGCAGCAGGGGGGAAUAUUGGACAAUGGGCGGAAGCCUGAUCCAGCCAUGCCGCGUGUGUGAAGAAGGCCUUUUGGUUGUAAAGCACUUUAAGCGAGGAGGAGGCUACUAGUACUAAUACUACUGGAUAGUGGACGUUACUCGCAGAAUAAGCACCGGCUAACUCUGUGCCAGCCGCCGCGGUAAGAC
rnacentral:rRNA from 1 species